GUCGUGCACUAUUGCAUAAGCAGAGCCGUGGCUGAUUUGCAAAUGAUUUGCCACAUUAUCCAGUGUCACUCGUCUAUUCCAUAGAGCAUAAGUUCAUGAGCACGUUCAAUGUUGUCAUCGUGGAUGUGGACGGGCGUCCAGCUGUUUUUUCAUAACACUCGUGCGAUCUUCUUUGAACUUUUGUGCCCAUUCAAACACACUUCGUGACAAAACACUUUCUCCAUAAUGUGCAUUAAAUCUUUGAUAAAUAUAGGCAUCAAACAUAACCUCCGACCACAAGAAACGAAUCACAGCAUCCUGCACUGUUUUCCUGCAAAUCACCAUUGCAAAGCGCCAUUACUCGCGCAACGGUCACAAACGAAUUGACGUAACACAAAGAAACCUGCGCAACAGCACUGAACAGAUAUUGACGUCAUACGAAGAGUGCAGAUGGAUCAAUACGGUCGACAGAAGUUUUAACUAUCUGGAGUGCGGAUAAAUUUUUACUGAGAGUCGUAUAGGAAUCUAUAAUCUAGUACUUUCCAAAAUACGCCGAGAGUAUUCCUGAUGGUGAAACGAGCGUUGCUUCAUCGAACGCAGCUAAAGAAAACAACAUCUAUGUAGUUGGUGGUACGAUGCCUGAAAUAGAGGGCGCUAAAUUGUACAAUACCUGUACUAUUUGGGGUCCCGAUGGAACUUUGAUAGCAAAACACCGAAAGGUACAUCUAUUCGACAUCGACAUUCCUAAUAAGAUUACUUUUCGAGAGAGUGAUUCACUCAGUCCUGGUAACUCCCUAACGACGUUCGAUGUGAAGGGCUGCAAAAUAGGUAUUGGCAUUUGCUAUGAUAUUAGAUUCGAGGAAAUGGCACGCAUUUAUCGGAACAAAGGUUGCCAAAUGCUGAUAUAUCCAGCGGCAUUCAAUAUGACCACUGGACCACUGCACUGGUCAUUACUUCAGCGUUUCAGAGCGAAUGAUAAUCAAUUAUACGUUGCCUGCAUAUCACCGGCUCGUGUUCCUUAAGCAAGUUACGUCGCAUGGGGACAUACACAGUUGACCAAUCCCUGGGGAAAGAUUCUUUACGAUUUGGAAACUCAAGAGAAUAUGGCAGUCACCGAUAUCGAUCUAAAAGUUGUUGAGGAAGUAAGGGCUCAGAUACCUACAUUUUCUCAGAGACGUACAGAUUUGUACGACACUGUCUGUAAGAAGGAGUAACUCUACACUAAAACAGAAAAUGUUUUUUUAUAAUAUUUCUACUACGAUAUCCUUUUUUUUGUGAAUUAUUACUAAUUUCUUAUCAUUUGUACUAAAUGAAUGACUCAAUUAAGAAAACCAAAACGUUAUAAAUAAUAAUCUGUAUAUCUUGUGUAUCAACAUGUAAUUGGAUAUUAUAAUAAUAUAGGAAUGCUAUAAUAAUAUAGGAUAAUAAUAUAGGAGAAUAGUAAUAUAGAAAAAAACUACAUGCUUUUAAACACCUUUAAUAUCGAUCACAUAAAUUGUUAUAAUUCACAAUGAUUACGCAUACAUAAAAGACCCCUUGAUAGUAAAAUUUACGAUCAAAAGGCAAUUACGUAUCGUUUAACAACAUUUAAUUUAUAACACCUUUUAAACAUUUAGACAGAUUAACACAUAACACUUCUUAUAUAUAAACAUCAAUUCGAAGUUAUCAGCUUGGAGAAAUUGGUCGAUUAAUACCUGUAGAUUGUCUGUCUCGAUGAAAGACUUAAAGAGAGCAAAAACAUGAUAAUGCCGCUAAUAUAAUAUUCCUUCUUUCUUGUAUCUGUCUGCCUCUCAGGUCGUUUUACUAAUUACAAUAAGUAAUUUCGCCUUCUUUGCGCUCUCUUUUAACGCAUUCGAGACCGAAAGAAAUUCAUAUCAGUCAGUAGGCAAGGGUAUAGUAUACAUAUUUUAUAUAUAACUUAUGUAGUAAUGUAUAUAUCAUGUUAAUUUCAUAUUUUUUUCAAUAUAGAAUUAUUAUAUAUAUAUAUGACUGUACAUAAUACAUUAUAGAAUAACAUAGUAUAUAAUUUUAUAUUUUAAAAAUAUGAGGCAUACUAUUUAAGAUUGUCAUCGAUUUAAAAUCAAAGUAUGAAAAGGAUACCCUGGAGAGAGUAAAACACAGAAUCAUUCUAACUAAACAUUCAGAUCGUACCGACACCUAGGUAUCGUCUUACAAUUAAAUCUCGGUCUCGAAUGGAUUAAAAUGAAAUACAUACUUGCAGCUUCAACAUCUUCAAUAUCGAGAAGAUUCAAACUUUACAAAUAAAUGUAAAUUGCGAUGUAAAACAACGCGAUGUAAAAAGGGAAAAAGGAGGAAAGAAGGAACAGGGAAGCAAAGAGAAGAAACGAAUUUUUCAUUUUCUCUUGCCAGGAAUAUAAGAUGCUAAGUAAUCUUCCUAAGUAAUCUCCUCCAGCUUUUUCUAGUUUGAUCAAUAAUUAUUAGUACAUGUUAGGAAAACAAAUAGAAUUUUUGUUCUCAAGCGAGGUAUAAUCUAAAUUUUGUAUGUACACAAAAAUGUUAAAUAUCUGUAAUAAACAUGGUAUAAUCAA